ACUCCUACGGGAGGCAGCAGUGGGGAAUAUUGCACAAUGGGCGCAAGCCUGAUGCAGCCAUGCCGCGUGUAUGAAGAAGGCCUUCGGGUUGUAAAGUACUUUCAGCAGUGAGGAAGGUGGAUAUGUUAAUAGCAUAUUCAUUUGACGUUAGCUGCAGAAGAAGCACCGGCUAACUCCGUGCCAGCAGCCGCGGUAAUACGGAGGGUGCGAGCGUUAAUCGGAAUUACUGGGCGUAAAGCGCAUGCAGGUGGUUUGUUAAGUCAGAUGUGAAAGCCCGGGGCUCAACCUCGGAAUUGCAUUUGAAACUGGCAAACUAGAGUACUGUAGAGGGGGGUAGAAUUUCAGGUGUAGCGGUGAAAUGCGUAGAGAUCUGAAGGAAUACCGGUGGCGAAGGCGGCCCCCUGGACAGAUACUGACACUCAGAUGCGAAAGCGUGGGGAGCAAACAGGAUUAGAUACCCUCGUAGGCUCUGC
rnacentral:rRNA from 1 species